rnacentral:rRNA from 1 species
ACGCUAGCUACAGGCUUAACACAUGCAAGUCGAGGGGAAACGGCAUUAAGUGCUUGCACUUUUUGGACGUCGACCGGCGCACGGGUGAGUAACGCGUAUCCAACCUUCCCAUGACUAAGGGAUAACCUGCCGAAAGGCAGACUAAUACCUUAUGGUCUUCACUGACGGCAUCAGAUGUGAAGUAAAGAUUUAUCGGUUAUGGAUGGGGAUGCGUCUGAUUAGCUUGUUGGCGGGGUAACGGCCCACCAAGGCAACGAUCAGUAGGGGUUCUGAGAGGAAGGUCCCCCACAUUGGAACUGAGACACGGUCCAAACUCCUACGGGAGGCAGCAGUGAGGAAUAUUGGUCAAUGGGCGAGAGCCUGAACCAGCCAAGUAGCGUGCAGGAUGACGGCCCUAUGGGUUGUAAACUGCUUUUGUAUGGGGAUAAAGUCAAUCACGUGUGAUUGUUUGCAGGUACCAUACGAAUAAGGACCGGCUAAUUCCGUGCCAGCAGCCGCGGUAAUACGGAAGGUCCGGGCGUUAUCCGGAUUUAUUGGGUUUAAAGGGAGCGUAGGCUGGAGAUUAAGUGUGUUGUGAAAUGUAGACGCUCAACGUCUGACUUGCAGCGCAUACUGGUUUCCUUGAGUACGCACAACGUUGGCGGAAUUCGUCGUGUAGCGGUGAAAUGCUUAGAUAUGACGAAGAACUCCGAUUGCGAAGGCAGCUGACGGGAGCGCAACUGACGCUGAAGCUCGAAGGUGCGGGUAUCGAACAGGAUUAGAUACCCUGGUAGUCCGCACAGUAAACGAUGGAUGCCCGCUGUUGGUACCUGGUAUCAGCGGCUAAGCGAAAGCAUUAAGCAUCCCACCUGGGGAGUACGCCGGCAACGGUGAAACUCAAAGGAAUUGACGGGGGCCCGCACAAGCGGAG